CCUACGGGAGGCAGCAGUGGGGAAUAUUGCACAAUGGGGGAAACCCUGAUGCAGCGACGCCGCGUGAGUGAAGAAGUAUUUCGGUAUGUAAAGCUCUAUCAGCAGGGAAGAAACUGACGGUACCUGUUUAAGAAGCCCCGGCUGACUACGUGCCAGCAGCCGCGGUAUUACGUAGGGGGCACGCGUUAUCCGGAUUUACUGGGUGUAAAGGGAGCGUAGACGGCAGCACAAGUCUGGAGUGAAAUGCCGGGGCUUAACCCCGGAACUGCUUUGGAAACUGUGCAGCUAGAGUGCAGGAGAGGUAAGUGGAAUUCCUAGUGUAGCGGUGAAAUGCGUAGAUAUUAGGAGGAACACCAGUGGCGAAGGCGGCUUACUGGACUGUAACUGACGUUGAGGCUCGAAAGCGUGGGGAGCAAACAGGAUUAGAUACCCUAGUAGUC
rnacentral:rRNA from 1 species